AUGGGCAUGUACAUCACCCCAGAGAGGAAGAUCCUGCAAUACCUUCCCUCCACAUCCUCCCAAGAAGCAGCCACUGUUGUGCUGCCUGGGAUGGGGCUGCCUCCCAGCCCCAACUCUGCAUCAUCCCAAAUCCGAGCUCCAGGACCUCAUUCUGUGUUGGCCACUCAGACCCUGAGCCACUUCCUUGUGGAUCUGCCCCGCCCCAGGCCCAGAGACUCCUCAGUUCACCUUCUCACAGUGAGGUUCCCUGCUGAGCUCCUGGGGCUGCUAAUGCUCUGGGUCCCUGCCUCCAGUGGAGAUACAGCGAUGACCCAGACUCCUCUCUCCCUGCCCGUCACCCUGGAAAGCCAGCGUCCAUCUCCUGCAGGUCUAGUCAGAGUCUCUUGGAUAGUUAUGGAUACACUCAUUUGAAUUGGUACCUGCAGAAACCAGGCCAGUCUCCACAGCUGCUGAUCUAUUUGGUUUCCAACUGGGCCUCUGGAGUCCCAGACAGGUUCAGUGGCAGUAGGUCAGGCACUGAUUUCACCCUGAAAAUCAGCAGGGUGGAGGCUGAGGAUGUUGGGGUUUAUUACUGCACGCAAGCUCUACAAACUCCUCCCACAGUGCUACAUCCUCCAACAGAAGCCUCCCUGCUGGGUUGGUCCAGCUGCCCACAUAGGCUGCUUGUCUGA